AGGACUUACCUUAGAUAGAAUUUGCGACACCAACUGAACAAUCGCUCAGCAGAAAAGUACAUUAGACAGAACUCUGAUCUGACAACAGAGAAGUUGUUGUAGACAGCAAUGGUGAAGCUGAAAGCUUUACCAGAUUUUGUGCCAGAAGAAGGAUGAUGAGGGAUGCAGAGCAACAUUGGCUGUAAACGAAAAUGUCGGCUGUGUCUGAUGAAUUUUUGCUACAAAAGCUGGCGGUCUCCUGGAAAGAUCUACCUUGAAACCUGCUCAUCCUUUCACUGUAAACACCACACAGCUGUUCCGGCUGGUCCUCCUCCAUGUGCUCCACCAUCCUAACCAAACCUGACCUCCGGAUUAGACGCUAACUCCUCUGCCAUAACACUCUGGGACCCCAGCGCUUCACCUCAUCUUCAUUGUUUUUCAAUAAAACCUUUAAAUCUUAACUACCUCCUGUGAGUGUUCCGCAUGCAGGUUAGAGCAAGCUCUAAAAACAUAACAAAAAAAAAGCAAUCACAUAACAAAACUUCGGAAAACUUUUUUUCCAGAGGAUAUAUUAAUUUAAAGUUUAUUUAUAUAGCACCAAUUAACAUAUAUAUUUUUCAGAUUAAGUUUUAAAAACUGCAUUCUUUUCAAAUUUCUCUUUAUCGACAGUGGUGGAGCCAGAAUAUUUAAAGGCAGGGACCGAUGUGCACCAAAAACAACAAAGCAGUUUAGGGUCACUCUACACUAAUCAUACUAUAACAACAGCACUAUAUAAAGGCAGACUAGGUUUUAAUAAAGCAUUCGCUAAUAUCCCUACUCACAUAUUUAUACACAUACCGGUAUGUUGUCUAAGUUGUUUAUGGUUCUGCAUAGUAUACAAAUGAAAUGGGUUGAGCAGUGGUUUUUCUAAUUUUAUAGACUACUUGAUGGUUGCCACUAGGGGCCGCCAUGGCUGUCAUCAUUAAGUCGAGUCCAAUAUCAAAUCCUUCCAACACUAACUGUGCUGUGCAAAGAUACCGCACCCAUCUCGGUUGUAUUUAUACAUAUUGUAACAUGGUGUGGAUGUCCCUGCACAGUGGAGUGCGUUGCCUCAUGGGCUGUGUGGAAACUAAUUGGAAUGGAUGUGUGUCUGUUUUGGCCUAGGCUAUUUUUAUUGUGUGUGUGCAUGACAGCCUCAUGUGCAUGUAGAAGUCUGUGUGGAAAUCCGUGUUGAAUGCUGAUCUUGUGUUCUAGAUACCUAACAGAGGAAAAAACAUGUUUUUUGCCAAGAGUUCUGAUGCAGAAACUGUUCUCUUCACCUCUGCUCUCCAUGCAGCUACCGUUGUUCGGUGUGUGUGAGUGUUUCCUGUCUAAACAUUCUGUCCUCUAUCUUCUCGGCAUCCUACCAAGUAUAGAAAAGGGCUUCUUACUGAAACACAGUGUUUACAUGGUGUCUAAAUGACCACAAAUAAUAUAUCUUCCACAU